rnacentral:rRNA from 1 species
UACGGGGGGAGCAAGCGUUGUUCGGAUUUACUGGGCGUAAAGGGCGCGUAGGCGGCCUGUGCAAGUCAGUUGUGAAAUCUCCGGGCUUAACUCGGAAAGGUCAACUGAUACUGCUCGGCUAGAGUGCGGAAGGGGCAACUGGAAUUCUUGGUGUAGCGGUGAAAUGCGUAGAUAUCAAGAGGAACACCUGCGGCGAAGGCGGGUUGCUGGGCCGACACUGACGCUGAUGCGCGAAAGCCAGGGGAGCGAACGGG